CUUUAUUGGGUGUGGGGCAUGUAAUUUUUUCGUAAUUAAGGUUUAGUAAAGG
rnacentral:tRNA from 1 species